UACGUAGGCAGCGAGCGUUGUUCGGAGUUACUGGGCGUAAAGAGUGCGUAGGCGGUUUUCUAAGUUUGGUGUGAAAUCUCCCGGCUUAACUGGGAGGGUGCGCCGAAGACUGGAAGGCUUGAGUACUUAAGAGGAUCGCGGAAUUCCCGGUGUAGAGGUGAAAUUCGUAGAUAUCGGGAGGAACACCAGUGGCGAAGGCGGCGACCUGGGCCAAUAUUGACGCUGAGGUGCGAAAGCGUGGGGAGCAAACAGG
rnacentral:rRNA from 1 species